rnacentral:lncRNA from 1 species
AGCAAGAUCAGGACAGAGGUGAAUGCUUUGGAUGAACUCAUAAAAGAGGCAGUUUGGGAAUUCGAAGAUUUACUCGAAUCCCAUAUCUUACCUCAGAUUCUUCCACAACUCCAAAGCGAGAGACACAACUUGUCAUUCUCUGUAGAUCUGCAAAGUUUGCAACACCAUGUUGAUUGCUUCGUCGAGAUGGUGAAGAUGAUGGAGGAAGAGUACACUAAUGAAAUGGAGAAUAUGGCUGAAGAAGAAGGCGAGCCUAUUUCCUCAAGAAUCGAUUUUGGUGGAAUCAACUCAAAGAUGGUUGGAAAAUCUUAUGCAUUUCAAGACGCCAGAGAUAAUCUUCUUGAAGAUAAACACUAUUCGAUUAUUGGGAUGGCGGGCGUUGGAAAGACAAAUCUUGCUAAACAUCUUUUUGAAGAUCCAUCAAUUCGGAGCCAUUUUGAGUUUCGAGCAUGGGUCAAAGUGGGCAGAAAAUGCGAGCCCAAUGAACUAUUACGCUGCGUUCUAGCUCAAGUGGAUCCCAACGCUUACCGAAUGCUUGCCCAAGGAGAUGAUGAUGAUGAGGAAUUAGUUGGACUAUUGAAAGAAAAAUUGCAGGAUAAGAAAUGUCUCAUCGUGUUGGAUGAUGUUUGGGAGACACAAGCAAUAAGUCGCAUGAUAAAUUGCUUGAAAGAAGGGAAUAUUCGUGGAGGGAUUGGAUACUUGCUUACAAGUAGACAACAAAUAACACUCCCGCAGCUUACGGGCAUAAGACUGAACUUGUUGAAUGAAGAAGAAAGUAAGAAAUUACUUGGUGAGAAGGUGUUUGGUGAGAAGGUGUUAGUGAAGACGGUUUCCCUCCCAACUUGAGAAUGGAGAGAAGAUUGCAGAAAUGUGAAGGCUUCCUCUUAUGAUAGUCACGUUGCAGAGCUCCUAUCAAAAGCCGACAAGACCCAGAAUAUGGACUGAGGUAGCCUGCAAACAACAAUCACUUUCGGGAGCAUAUAAUCAAAUAUCAGAGGUCUUUUCCCAAGUAUGACUAUUACCCCAACAUUUAAAAAUGUUUCCUCUAUAUGGGACUUUCCCUCCAUAUAUAUCAUACCACAUACACUUAUGUUGGUGCUGAGGCUUCUUAAUGAAUGUUGAAAAAGUUUGAGGUUUUGGGAAAAGCUUUCUAGGUAUCAUCUUGUUCUCGACACAAAAAUUGUGGUUGAAUAAGAGUAUCGCGUGCAUUCUGUUGGCAGCACUUUGUAAGGUAGAAGCUAGAGAUCAAGUUUCUACAUGUCUUACGAGGUUGUGAGAUGUAAAAAGACCAGCGCGCUUGUGUGCCCAUUACAACAGUUUAUUUGCUUCAAACAAGUGUAUGAUUCGAUAAAAAGUGAUUGUGCAUCCACUGCCCGUUCUCUCCUUUGUUUGGUCCUUAUCACCAUAUCCAAUCCCAAUACAUGCCAUGGGUUUCAAGUUGCUCAGGGUACUAUAUGCUCUUAGAGUUCGAUUUUACCAUAUCCCAAUUGAAAUUUUGAAACUUGUUUGUCUGCGGUACCUUGCCCUAAAUUGCAACGGGGAGCUCCCUCCUUCCAUAUCCAACCUUUUUCACCUUCAAUUCUUGAUUAUCGAUCCACAUAUGUACAUUAAAAAGCGUGGAGUUCAGUCUUAUAUGCCUGUGCAAAUUUGGGACAUGCAAGAACUAGAGCAUAUUCAGAUUUGGGGAAGGACCUACCAACCCCUAAUACUGAUGAUGCUACCUUGAACAAACUCAUCUCACUUGUUGGUGUGAGUGCAAACAGUUGUACAAGGGAAGUUCUCAAAAGAAUUCCUAAUUUAAAGGAAUUAAAUUGAAGUGGAGUUGAAGCCUUAUGAUGAUGAUGAUGAUGAAAGAAACCCAUUGAGUUGCUUGGGUUAUAUCUCCCAACUCCAGAAUUUGGAGAGACUUGAAUAUUGGGUUAACAAUCCCGAGAUAAAGUAUGAGUGUAAUACGAUUCCUCUUUCAAUGUUUCCAUCAAGUCUCAAGGUGUUACGUUUGUCUGGGUUAGGGGGGUAUCCUUGGAAUUACAUGAAUGACAUUGGUUCGCUGCUGCCAAAUCUCGAGAUUCUCAUAUUACGUUGCUAUGCAUUUCGAGGCCCAGAGUGGGACAUAACACCGGGGAGUUUUUUGAAACUUAUUGAACUUCGAAUUGAAGACACCGAUUUGGUGCGAUGGAGACCUCAACGUGGAAGCUUCCCGGAGCUUCGUAGACUAAGCAUGCGGCAUUGCUACAAAUUACAACAGCUCGAUUGGCCGUAUGACCACUCUUGGAUAGAGAUCAUUGAUUUACGCGAGUGCAAUCCUUUAGCUGUCGCUUGUGCCAAGGAAUUAAAAGACAAGUUUUCCUUUCAACUUUCGUCAAAUCUUCUUUUUGAGGUCAAGUGGAUCUGCAACUUGCCAACAGGUUAGUCUUACUACUUUGCAAUAUCAAGUCUUAAUGUUUCUGUUAUAGUCACAGUGUUUGAGAUUGUCCAUCUAUCGAUUUUCAGGCAAAUGAAAGAGACGAUCGAGAGUUGCUUCCCCUGCCGCAGGUGAGUUUCUGCUGUCUGUAGAUUACUAGUAACUUGUUUAACAAACGUCGAGGCCUUUGUAUUACGAGCUGCUGUUUUUGAAGAUCUCUUCGCAAGAUUCUUAAGGAGUUCACUUGUUCAAGGCGCCAUAAGGUAACUUCUUUAUAAUGCAUAACCUAUAAAUGAAUCGAUUAACUUGUAAGUAUUGGGCUCGUUAGCUUGCAAACACGUUCGUGUACAAUUUUCAAUAUCAAAAACCAGAUUUUGAGUUGGGCUGAAUUCCCCAUGGCAUAAUUUUCUUCUAUUCCGACUUGGGCCCAAUAAUUAUAUAAUACACAAAAAAUAACCUUAAAAUAAAAUAUGUACGUAAUAGGAGUAAAACUAACAGAAAACAUUAUAUGUGAUGCUGAGGCACUUAAGAAAAAUAAAGUGUGUGCAUUUUCCACAUCAAAUACAUAUCUUAAGUUUGUGAAAUGCUAUUGUGUUUUAAGACUGAGGAAAAUAAUUCAAUUAUACUUCCUCCGUCCUCAAAUUAUAACUUCAUAGAAGGAAGGAACACGAGUUUUAAGACGAAAAAGUUAAAAGAUGAAAAGUAAGGAUAAAUGGGGUAUUGAGAGUGGCGAAAAGAUGAAAAAUAAGGGUAAAUGAGGAAUUAAUUGUGGUGGAGUAGUGCCCAAAUAUAGAAAGAUUUUUUUUUUGAACGGACCGAAAAUAAAAGUUAGAAAGUUAUUUGCGGACGGAGGAGUAUGUAUGUUUAGAAUAUCUAGCAAAACCAAUAAAAGAUCACCAUGAACUAUAAUCUUUUUAUCCCUCAAUCCAUCUCACAUUUGAAUUUUCCUAAAAAAGGUAUAUAAAUUCAUUAGAAUUUAUAUAUACACUAAUAUAAAAAAAAUGUGUUGGGCACAAACUAUAGAUUGUCUAUUAUAUUCAUAUUACAUACUCCCUUCGUCCCCAAAUAACUUCUUAGUAGGGGACGACACGAGUUUUAAAGAAAAAUUUUAAGUGUAUUGAUAAAAAAAAAGUUUUAUAAUUAAUAUUGAAAGUGGUGAAAAUGUGUUAUAAUUAAUAUUGAGAAUGAUGGAAGGUUGAAAAGUAAUAAUAAAUAAAGUAUAUUAGUGGUGGGGUAAUGUCCCAAAAUGAAUAUGAAGGUAUUUGGAGAACUGAAGGAGUAUUUAAUUUUAAGAGUAAUUAUAUAAAGUAUAUAUUAUAUAUCUAGAAGAAUAUAUUAAUUCAUUAGACAUUAAAGUACUACAAAAAUAUGUCAAUUAAUUAUAUUACCUUAUCAUAAAUCUAUUUGAUGAAUCUGAAAAUCUUUUUAGAAUCCUGAAAAAAUAUCCUAUGAAAUCUAACUAUUAACUAAAUAAAUGAAAAUUCAAUAUUAUAUAAAUAAAUAGGUUACAUAUAAAGUGUACUCCAUCCGUCCCACGAAUCUUGAUACGCUUGGUUUCAGCACGGGAAUUAAGGAGUUGUAGAUUAGUAUUUUAAGUGUGUAGUUAAUGAAGUAUAAAAGUGAUAAAGUAGGAGAGAAAAUGUAAUAUAAGUGAUAAAGUUAAUCGAUAGCGUGUUCGUGCUCGUAAAAUGAGUUUCUCUCUUUCACUCUGCAGAAGCCAUUGUGUAGAUGUUGCUAACUCAUAUAUAUAAAGUGCUCUUGAUUUUAGAUCGAGUUGUAGAAAUCAAGAUUUGAUGUUAAUUUCAUUGGACUUAAAUAUUUGUUUUUUUUAACUAGUGGUAAUAAUAUGUGUUCUAUUUUAAGUCACAGGCUAUUCCCUCAAAGUUGAGAGUUUGCCUUAUUUUUAUCAACCAGUUUGAUCGAUUUUGAAUUAUUUAGAUUGUCACAAGGAUUUUGCAUAGGUCUGCCUAAUAUCUUUGCAAUAUCACAUUUUUUAAUGUUCUUAUUAUAUUCACAGUGUUUGAGAUUGUCCAUCUACCGAUUUUCAGGCAAAUGAGAUAGCCGAUCAAAGGGGUCAGGCGUUGCGUUAUCCCAUAAUUUCGAUUGUUGUAUUACCACAUUGUCGUAUGAAUUUAAGGAUUGUGAAACCUGAGUGCUGAAUUUUGUUUGUAACCAAAAUUGUUGUAAGUUGGAUUUGUGUGAAAACAUGAGUCCCUUAUUCAGUUCAAGGAUUGUAAUAUUUGUGAGUUCUGCAUAGUUUUAACUUUGUUUUCAUAGUGUGUAUGUGUGGUUAAAGAUGUUGUUGAUUUAGCUAUGAAGAAGAAUCUGAUAUUCUGAUUAAGAGCUCUUGUUGUCUAAGAAGAAAAGAAUUGAUGAAUUAUCAUUCAUAAAAUUGGGCUUCUUCAUAUAAUAAACAAAAUUUCGGCCCCAUACAAAAUCAAGGCCCAACCUCCAUCAUUUAUCUUUUAAAUUUUGCCUCAGUGUCAAAUUAAAAGGCAUCAAAUUCAACUCAAUUUCUUUAGAAGACAUUCAAAUUAAAUCCAUGGCACUUUAGAUAUUCCACCGGUUAUCUUGUUAUAUUUAUGGUUGAAGUCACUAUGUGGAAAAUAGGACCUAAUGGUAAAAAACAUGAAUCAAACUUUCAAUAUUUUCAGAAAGAGGACUAUAUAUUACGAAAUUUGAAAAUAAGGACUAUAUUCAACAAAGUAAUGAAUCAAUCGUAGAUCUUGAUAAUCUAAGAGCUGAAAAUGGUUCUUAUUUUAUAUUCUAAGAAGUGUUUUUAUUUUAGCUCAUCCCAUCCAACUAAUAUCUAAAAAAUUGUGGUAAGAUAUAAACAGUAGAAUGAAUCAAUUAAAUAGACCAAAUCGUUAAUUGAAUAAUUAAAUAUAAUAUAUAUUAUAUUUAUAUUUUUUAUUUUAUCAAAUAAAAUUAUAUUAAUUAUGCGUACAAAGUGACAUUUAACAUAGUAUGAAAUUUUCUAACUGAGAUAAACGUGUUAAAAGAGUGGAAAAAGUGAGAAAAUAUAUGUAUUUCAUCAUUUUUUUAUUAAAGAAAAUGCAUCCCAAGACUUUAUCAAAUUGGUUCAAAACGAGAUAGAUAUAUAUAAUAUUGAGUCACAAAAGAUUAUACUGAACAUUGUCUGAAUCGCCAUCACAUGCUUUGCAUCGAGAUCAGGUAUUGAGAGCUGUUGGCUUUUGGUCCCAUUUGCCCAUUCCAACAUUAAUUUUCUCAUAUCCCCAUGCAAACUAUUAGUUUAUUACACCCUGAUUAUUUUCCUAUUCAUCUUGAAUAUAAGGAUUAGAAAUUUCACAUUCUUGAACUUUUUGCCUUACUCAACCUAUUUGGAGGAUUGGAAGUCUUCGCUUAAAUCAUGAUAUAAUUAACCUAAAGUUAGGAUGUUAUAUUUAUAAAAGACUUAAUAUAUUAAAAUACUCACUUCCAUAAUAUGUCUAUGUAAGGGGGUGGGUAUUUUUCAUAGACAUAUUAUGGGGGUGGGUACUUUUAAUUCCACCCCUUUAUAAAAUUGGUUUUGGCCUGAAAUUCAAUAAUUAUGGACAAAAAUACAUUGGAAAAAUAUAAUUUUGUUAUAAACUAGAGAUAAACAAGAGAAUAUAGAAGAUAAUACGAAUUCAGUGUAUUCAAUAUGAGGGCCAGAAGUUAGGGUUUUAGGGAGAUUUCUUGGUCAACACACAUAACAUAUAUCUAGAUGAUAUAUUUACAACAAAUUUUAUCUUUUAACUGUUGGACUUUUAUGUUGUACCCAAAUGCAAUCUUAUUGAUUGAAAANAACUUUCGUUUAUUUUAUCAUCAGUUCUAAUAUAUUUGAUCAUCUGCUGCUAAUAUUAAGGCCACAAUCGAAAUCUCUUUAACUUGAGCUUCAAAAUCCUCAAACCAAUUUUGCAGUCCGAUACAUAAAACUCUACCUCGAAUAGUUGACGAAACUCUAAUUCUGCAACGUCAAAUUGAUGGCGUAAUAAAAAGUUAUUUAGGAGGUUUUGUAGUUCAAGUCAAAGAUAUUUUGAUUGUGGUCUCAAUUUCAGUGAUCGAUAAUCAAAUAAGUCAAAAUUGAUGCAACAACAAUUAAAAGUGUGGCAGCCCGAUUUUGCUAAGGAUAGCUAAACCGAGAAAUCAACGAUUAAGGAUGAUCGGAUUAAAGAAGUGGUGAAAAAAAAGGCAUCGAUCAUAAACACUUAAAUCUCAUUUUAAAUAAUAACCAAAUUAAAUAUGCAAGAUGUUGGAGUUAAUUUUUAACUCCAUAAAACUUUCCUAAAGUUAUAAAAUUUAAUUGUAUUGUUUUGCCUUCUUCACGUGUUAUGUUGUGUUUACGAUAACAUCUUUUUACAUCACUUGUUGGUUUUUGUAAGGUUUCGGAGUAUUAUUCUUGAACUGAGUUUUGUUCUUUAGUGAGAGUGUCAUGUGUUUAAUAUCUAUGUCAUUGCAAAGGUAUUGAACGUGAAUUGUUCAUUCUCUAAUUAGUUUUCUUGACAUAUGGUGUCUUCUUCAUUUAUUUUUGUUCCGCUACUUUAUACUCCGCGUGCUGUUCCAAUAUUCCGCACAACAUUUUGAUCCAGACGAAGCAACACUUUCACAAGAAAUGAUAGCUAAUAAAAGCCGACAAGGUGCAUAGAUAAUUUAUAUAGGAAUUCUCUAAAAAAAAUUAUUUUAUUAAAGAGGUUUUACUAUAAAGUUUAGUAAUUUAUUUGAGUAUCAUUUUAAAGAGGUUUUACUCUCCAUCUUAAAAACAUAAAAUUUGUCCACUUUUUACAAUUUCGGACUGCAUUACUCUUAAUUUGGAUGGACUGGAUCGGAUUGGGCGUGUUGAUUCAGUGUUACUUUUUGGAUUGUACUAAUGUUAGUAAUUUGUUUUGUAAAUUAUAAUAAUUUAGAAUUAGAAUACAAAUGAUUUAUAAUUUAAUUUUAUUAGAAGUUUAAUUUGCCUUAAAUCCCUGAAAUUAAAAUUAAUUAUGUAAAAUAAACUUAACAAAUAAACAUCCCGAGGCAUUCAACGAUUAGUGAUGUGCACAUGGCGUCAACAAUGUCGAGGCAUUUGUGUGAAUCAAUGCAAUUUAAAAAUAAUAAUCCUUUAACAAUGGUGGAGACCCUCAAUCAACCACUCACUUUAACAAUUCUCUUCCACCUUCAAAAUCCUAAUCCUUCCCACCACCUACCGCCGUUGCCGUUGAUAUCUCAUAUUUCAAUCAAGUUAUGGCGGCUUUUGGUGCCGCAGCUUCUCUCAAGAAUACGAUUCUGCGUAUUCUACAAUCGUCUCGCAUUUCUCUCGUUUCCCACUCUCCACAAAUCUUGCAACCUGCCUACGACGAGAUGGAUCGAUUGCAGAAAGUUCUGCUCAAAUUGGACGAGACCAGCUGCAGCAAGAUCAGGACGAAGGUGAAUGCUUUGGAUGAACUCAUAAAAGAGGCAGUUUGGGAAUUCGAAGAUUUACUCGAAUCCCAUAUCUUACCUCAGAUUCUUCCACAACUCGAAAGCGAGAGAGACAACUUGUCUUUCUCUGUAGAUCUGCAGAGUCUGCAACACCAUGUUGAUUGCUUCGUCGAGAUGGUGAAGAUGAUGGAGGAAGAGUACACAAUGAAAUGGAGAAUAUGGCUGAAGAAGAAGGCGACCUAUUUCCUCAAGAAUUGAUUCUGGUGGAAUGAUCAA